AUAAAAGUGUCGGAAAAGUAAAAUUUAUAAUAUUAAUCAUUAUAUAUGUCUAUGCUUUUUACUAAUUUUUUUGAGGAUAAGCUCAAAAAAAAGUUAAGGUUUGUUUUUAAUUAAAUCUGCUGUGUAGAUUUAAAAUUGACCAUCACAAAAGUUUUUUAUAAAAUAGUAAUCUUAAUUUUGUAAAUAAAUAUAAUUUAAACUAACUUUCUACGGAGAUAAAAACUUUAAUUAAAAUGAGUUUUUAUGCCUAUGCUAGAAUGAGUAUUAAAAACUAAUUACAAGAGAAAUCUGUAGACAUAUUUUCUCUAGAAAAUUUUAUUUAAAAAAAUUAAUUAAUUAGAAGGAACUCGGCAAAUUUAGUUGUUCCGCCUGUUUAUCAAAAACAUGGCUCUUUGAUUAUAUAAAUAUAAAGAGUCGAGCCUGCCCAGUGAAAAUUUUUUUAACGGCCGCGGUACUCUGACCGUGCAAAGGUAGCAUAAUCAUUUGCCUUAUAAUUGAAGGCUAGUAUGAAUGGUUUGACGAGAACAAUGCUGUCUCCUUAUUAUUUUCAAGAAUUUAACUUUUAGGUGAAGAGGCCUAAAUUUUAUUGAAGGACAAGAAGACCCUGUCGAGCUUAAAAGAUAUUGCAGAGUCUUAUAUACUUUUAAAUAAAUUUCUACUAAGCUUUUUAGUUGGGGCGACUAAGGAACAAAAAAAGCUUCUUACUAAAAAUAAACAAUCAUGUUUAGAUCCGACAAUAAUCGAUUAAAGAAAUUAGUUACCGCAGGGAUAACAGCAUAAUCUUUCUUAAGAGACCUAAUCGAAAGAAGGGGUUGUGACCUCGAUGUUGGACUAGAAUAUCCUAAAGAUGCAGAAGUCUUUAAAGG
rnacentral:rRNA from 1 species